AUUGAUUUACUUGUUCAGAAUUUCUUCAGCUAGUCAUGAACAUUUUCCUUCCCAAAUAAACUUCAGAAUUAUUUGGCUGAGUUGCAUAAAAUGUACCAUCAACAUUCCCGCCGGCCCGCCCCCCCAACCUAAGUAGGACAGCAAGCAACAUGAGCACUGGGGCAGAAACCUUUCUAGGCAGAGUGAACAGCAAGUGUUCUAGAAGCAGGCGUGUUCUAGCAGGUUUCAGGAAAUGACAGAAGGCUAGGGUGGCCACUGAAAAAGAGCAAAGAGAGUAGAAGCAGA
rnacentral:lncRNA from 1 species